rnacentral:rRNA from 1 species
AACGAACGUUAGCGGCGCGCCUAACACAUGCAAGUCGCACGAGAAAGGGCUUCGGCCCCGGUAAAGUGGCGCACGGGUGAGUAACACGUGGGUAACCUGCCCUCGAGCGGGGGAUAACAUUCCGAAAGGAGUGCUAAUACCGCAUAAGACCACGAUCUCGCAAGAGAACGCGGUCAAAGCUGGCCUCUAUACAUAAGCUAGCACUUGAGGAUGGGCCCGCGGCGCAUCAGGUAGUUGGUGAGGUAAUGGCUCACCAAGCCGAAGACGCGUAGCUGGUCUGAGAGGAUGAUCAGCCACACUGGAACUGAGACAUGGUCCAGACUCCUACGGGAGGCAGCAGUGGGGAAUCUUGCGCAAUGGGCGAAAGCCUGACGCAGCGACGCCGCGUGAGUGAUGAAGGCCUUCGGGUUGUAAAGCUCUGUGGGGCGAGACGAAUAAGUGCAGCCUAAUACGUUGCAUGAUGACGGUAUCGCCUUAGCAAGCACCGGCUAACUCUGUGCCAGCCGCCGCCGUAAGAC